UAAAAACAAAAAUUAACAAGAGUGAUAAUCAUUCUCACGUCGACAAUGUUCUUCUCAAUACGUGUGAUGUACCAGUUCACACAAUCUUUUGCACUUCUUGCAGAAAUGGUAAACCAAGGAUUACUCUGAAGUAAUAU